rnacentral:lncRNA from 1 species
GUGAAAGGGCCAGAUCAAAACAAUAUCUCACCUUCUUUGGUUUGCAUGUUUUUACAUAGGUGGAAAACAAACUUUCUGAGAUGGAUGGGCCCUGAAUUAGACUGCUUACUUGGAGAACCAUGCCCUGGUGCCAGAAAGGUUGGGGACCGCUGCCUUGGAGGGAAGGCCACUGUCUUGGAAGGAAGGUCCCAGAAGGCAAUCAAGAUGUGAUACUGGGCAGUAAGGAGACCUGGAAGGAGCUGAUUUGGUGAGAAAAGGAGAGCGUUUUCAGAUUGGUUUUGUAUUUUGGAGCUUGAAUAUAUUAACAAAAUAUUAAUCAAUUUUGAUUUAGUGCAUUUUUUAGGUACUUACAGAGUUUGAGUAGCAAGGAAAGGAGCCCCAGGUAGGGGAAGGGUCAAGAGCAAAGGCAUAGAAGGUGGAUGCAGCAUAUAUGAGGAAGUGGGGUAGGACCCCCAGCUUCUGGUCUCGGCCCUGCCAGUGACUUACUCUUUGUCUCGAGCAGCCCGUUUUCAGCCCUGAGUCUCUGUUUCCAUCUUUACAGUGGGCACAAGUGGAGACAGUAAUGCUAUCUCAUCUACCUGUUAUAAAAGGGAAAGGUAAUCACAUAUGUGUAUUUGAAAUGUUUGGCACACGAUAGGGGCUCAACAUCGUUACGGAGCUCCUAUGGGCCCCCAUUUCCCAGCAGUGAGGGGCAGCCCCGGAUGUCCAAACUGGCAGGUGUGCCAUGACCCAUGGCAAUCCCCUGGCCUCCAAGAAACUGUAGAACAAGCUUUACAACAUAUGGUCCUCGGCUCCUGAUCUCCUCAACAGGUUCCUGUAUACCUGUCUCUUCUUUAGUUCUCAUGAGCAAAUGGCAUGUAAUUCUGUAGCUUUUCAUUUUUGCACAGGACUCAGAACUACUCACCGGUGAGGUCAGAUAAUAUAUAGAGAAACUAAUUUACGUCUUGUUCUUGCUGCCAAAACUGAGAGGUACUGCUGAUGGGGGAGACCCUCUGAUCUGAGGGGUGGGUUUACUUUCCUCUGGGAUUGUCAGGAGCCCACAGGCCCAGAGCAAGGAUACUCUAUGGAGUGGGACCUGCCAGUGUAGGAGACACAAGAGAUGUGGGUUUGAUCCCUGGGUCAGGAAGAUCUUCUGGAGUAAGAAAUGGCAACUCACUCCAGUAUUCUUGUCCGGAGUCCAUAGACAGAAGAACCUGGCAGCUACAGUCCAUGGGCCUGCAAAGAGUUGAACAUGACUGAGUGCACCUGCAAAGGUCCAGGGCACUUUGGAGUCUGCAUCUCACUACAUAGCACAUAAAUAAAUAUAUACAAAUAUAUAUAUAAAUAUAUAAA